CGUGUAGGCGGCCGAUUAAGUCUGGAGUGAAAGUCCUGCUUUUAAGGUGGGAACUGCUUUGGAGACUGGUUGGCUUGAGUGCGGAAGAGGUAAGUGGAAUUCCCAGUGUAGCGGUGAAAUGCGUAGAGAUUGGGAGGAACACCAGUGGCGAAGGCGACUUACUGGGCCGUAACUGACGCUGAGGCGCGAAAGCGUGGGGAGCGAACA
rnacentral:rRNA from 1 species